ACACUCCUACGGGAGGCAGCAGUGGGGAAUUUUGGACAAUGGGCGGAAGCCUGAUCCAGCAAUGCCGCGUGUGUGAAGAAGGCCUUCGGGUUGUAAAGCACUUUUGUCCGGAAAGAAAUCCUUGGCUCUAAUACAGUCGGGGGAUGACGGUACCGGAAGAAUAAGCACCGGCUAACUACGUGCCAGCAGCCGCGGUAAUACGUAGGGUGCGAGCGUUAAUCGGAAUUACUGGGCGUAAAGCGUGCGCAGGCGGUUUGCUAAGACCGAUGUGAAAUCCCCGGGCUCAACCUGGGAACUGCAUUGGUGACUGGCAGGCUAGAGUAUGGCAGAGGGGGGUAGAAUUCCACGUGUAGCAGUGAAAUGCGUAGAGAUGUGGAGGAAUACCGAUGGCGAAGGCAGCCCCCUGGGCCAAUACUGACGCUCAUGCACGAAAGCGUGGGGAGCAAACAGGAUUAGAAACCCGAGUAGUCCCA
rnacentral:rRNA from 1 species